rnacentral:rRNA from 1 species
GCUCAGAACUCAAAGGAAUUGACGGGGGCCCGCACAAGCGGAGGAGCAUGUGGUUUAAUUCGAUGAUACGCGAGGAACCUUACCUGGGCUCGAACGUAAGAUGACUGUAGGUGAAAGCUUACAUCUCUUCGGAGCAUUUUACGAGGUGCUGCAUGGUUGUCGUCAGCUCGUGCCGUGAGGUGUCGGGUUAAGUCCCAUAACGAGCGCAACCCCUACCUUUAGUUGCCAUCAGGUUAAGCUGGGGACUCUAAAGGAACUGCCUACGCAAGUAGUGAGGAAGGCGGGGAUGACGUCAAAUCAGCACGGCCCUUACGUCCAGGGCUACACACGUGCUACAAUGGCCGAUACAGAGGGCAGCUACCUGGUGACAGGAUGCAAAUCUCCAAAGUCGGUCUCAGUUCGGAUCGGAGUCUGCAACCCGACUCCGUGAAGUUGGAUUCGCUAGUAAUCGCGCAUCAGCCACGGCGCGGUGAAUACGUUCCCGGGCCUU